UACGGGGGGGGCAAGCGUUGUUCGGAAUUACUGGGCGUAAAGGGCUCGUAGGUGGCCAACUAAGUCAUGCGUGAAAUCCCUCGGCUUAACCGGGGAACUGCGUCUGAUACUGGAUGGCUUGAGUUUGGGAGAGGGACGCGGAAUUCCAGGUGUAGCGGUGAAAUGCGUAGAUAUCUGGAGGAACACCGGUGGCGAAGGCGGCGUCCUGGACCAAUACUGACACUGAGGAGCGAAAGCCAGGGGAGCAAACGGG
rnacentral:rRNA from 1 species